CGGGGUGUAGCGCAGCUUGGUAGCGCAUCCGCUUUGGGAGCGGAGGGUCGCAGGUUCAAAUCCUGUCACCCCGACAA
rnacentral:tRNA from 3 species